rnacentral:piRNA from 1 species
ACCCAGCCAGCCAACAGCCAAGCCAGC